CACAUGCUCUGUCUCUUGCCUGCCGCUAUGCAAGGCGUGACUUUGCUCCUCCUUUGCCUUCUGACAUGAUUGUGAGGCCUCCCCAGCCAUGUGGAACUGAUUAAAAAAACCCACGCUGCUGAUAUCCUUGUCAGCCUUUUCCUGAAUCAUUGCUGUGCAGCUCCAGGGAGCCACGGGCCGGUGCCUUCUGACCGGCAGACUCCGUCCAUGGGCCUUCCUGUCCUUGGGGUCCUGGAGCUCUCUGUCUGAGCCUCCUUGGCCACUGAAGCAACACCCAGAGGCCUGCAUCCUCUAAGAAAUGCCAGCCAGGGUUGCAGAUGGAGCCAAGAAUUGAAAAUCUGGCCGAGUCUUUCCAUCUCACAGAUGAGCAAGCUGAACCUCAGAGGGCUUAGUGAUGUGGUUGAGGCACAGCCACCAAGGAUCAAUGACUGAGCCUCAAAACCACCUCUUCUGAGAGUACUGCUUUCUUACCCGAGGAUGGCCCAUCAGGGUGAUCUGGAAGGCAGAAGACGGGAGUUUUUCUGUGAACUCACUGUGGUGGGGGUGGUCCUUGGAAAAGUACUGAGUACACAGAAGUGGCGACGGGCAAAUGGAGAUCCUGGAAAAGGAGGUUUUCUACCAAAAUAUCCUUGUGAACAUGAGGACAGCUUCCAAACUGAGAAAGAGUGGGCUCGAGAAAGCUCUAAUGCUUCUUUCCCUGACACGAAGUGCUUCGUGCAGUGUUUGGCAUCAACAUGUCGGAGCCGUGGCAACGUUCUCCGUGCAUCCCCGCUUGGGCGUCAUUUUGGAUGUAUGAAUAUGGACUGAAGGUCAAACUCAGACCAGAGGCAGGACCCAGGAUCAGAGGCCAGGCUGAUGCCAAGGGUAAAGGACAGGAUGAGAGGACUCUGCAAAAUUGUUCUCCUUUGGCCGGUACCCCUGCCUUGGUUUCUCUCCAGCCCCACACAGUCAGGGAAGAGAAAAGGGAAAAGAGAAGUUUGACUGCCACUGAUAAGAAGGCACAUUAAACACUGUCCUCAUAAUCAAAUUAUUGGCAGGGACUUGACACUUGGUAAAGGUUCAGCUGUGAACUGAACAGUCACUAAUCCUGUGGCAGCUGAAAAUCCUGACCCAGAGAACAGGUGGAGAAGCACCGUACUGACACCAGAAUCCCCAGGAUGCUAUUCAGUUGACACAGAGACCACACGCUUCAUAGUAUUCAGAGCACUGGACUUGGGACCAGAAGUUCCAGCUCAUCACUGCUGUAUAACUGUAAAGAAAUCAUUUAGCCUCUCGAGCCUCAUUCUUUGUGUGAGAUGGAGAUAAUCCUACUCAUCUCAUAGGGCAGUUGUGAGGACUGAAUGAGUUUAAAUGCAAAAUGCUCUUAAGACACUGUGAUAUAUCUGCAUCCACCCACUUAUCUCCCUGCUUACCUAUCUCUGUAAAAUAGGGAUAAUAAUAGUUACUACUUCACAGAGUUGUAAGAGUUGAGUGAAAAGGUGAAUGAUGGAGGCUGAGGUGGGCGGACCAUCUGAGGUCAGGAGUUGGAGACCAGCCUGGCCAACAUGGUGAAACCCCGUCUCUACUAAAAAUACAAAAAUUAGCUGAAUGUGGUGGUGUGUGCCUUUAAUCUCAGCUACUUGGGAGGCUGAGGCAGGAGAAUCGAUUGAACCCAGGAGGUGGAGGUUGCAGUGAGCCGAGAUUACGCCACUGCACUCCAGGCUCCAGCCUGGGCAACAGAGUGAGACUCCAUCUCAAAAAAUAAAAUAAAACAAACCAACAACAACAACAAAAACAACAAAACAAAAAGGUGAAUGACAAAAGGCUUUGCAACUCCCUGUACAAAUGAGAGUGACUAUUAUCAAAUAUCCCAUCUGUGUUGGAAGCAAUACUGCC
rnacentral:lncRNA from 1 species